GUACUAAAAAAGUUCUACUUAAAUGAUUUCUAUUUGAAAAGAUAUACGAAAUAAAAAUUAAAGACAAAAUAAUUUAUUUAAUUCCACAAACUCUACUUAAAAUACAAUUGAACAACACCAUAGAAAUUUUGAAAAGUAAUUUUUGAAAUUAAAUAAGAUACUUAAUGUAUAAGAAAAGGGAAAUCAAGGACGCAAUUAAUGAUGGCUGAUUAUAAGCACGAGACAUUUUUUCUUCGCUCUUAAGAAUUCUUUUCUCAUUGGUUGUUCAACCUCCACCUCAGUGGCAUGAGCUUGGGUUCGCCCCUAUUUAAUAUGGCGUUAGAGAUGGCAAAAUUCCGGGCCGGGUCCGGGUAUUGCCAUGACCGGACCCUGCCCGGAUGCAAUCGGUUUAGGUUUGGGUCCGGAUUUUAAUCCGAAGUGAUGCCCAAGACCGACCCGGCUUCAUACCCGGGCCGGGUAUUACGCCCGGGUACGGUCCGGGUCCAGACCGGACGGGUAUUUUUGCCACCUCUAUAUAGCGUGUACAUAUGUAUGAUGUGUAAGAAAAAUAAUGGAGCAGAUUUUUCUUUUUAUAUUUACUUAUUUGCUUACUUUGGAAAAAAAAAAAAAAAAAAGUGGGGUAAAGCUUAAAACAAUUUUUUACUCUCUCGCUUCCCUCGUAUUUGAAUUCAAUGGCCGGAUAAGAAAGCUGAUUGAAAACUACACGACCAAAUCCUUGAGAGCAAAUUAUUUAUUUGUUUUAAUUUAGUUUGGUCAGAAAAAUUCAUAAUAAAAUUUAGAACGUAUAGAAAAUAAUUUAUACAAAUACAUUGACCUACUAGAUUCAAUUAUCAAAAUUAUUUUCGGAGAAAAAGUCCAAAAAAAUUGAAAUGUCCAAUUAAAUAUAACUGAACCUUUCAUCAAUGUGUUUGUAUAUUAUUAAUUUCAUGUAUUUAGUAAAAAAAAGUUAUAAUAAUAAUCUGAUCUAGUGAGAUUAGAAUUAGAAGGGGCAAUAUGGGACAUGACAUGAAUGCAAUAAUAUCAAACUCGUGUUGAUAUAAAUUGACGUGUUUGAUAAAUGGAUUGACACGACAUGAGUAAUAAUCAUGCUAUACCUGUAUUGGACCAUCUCAAUAUAUUUUUUGUUUAUUACACGAAUAUAAAUGAAUAUGUGAUAAUAUUAUUUUAAAAAUAACUACUAAGUUAACUAUUUCUGUCAUUUCCAUAUUGUGUCAUCAAUUUAUUAAUGUCAUAAUUAGUUUCAUGUUAACUUAUUUAUGAGCUAUUUAAAAAAAUUUGACAUAUUUGUUAUAUUUUACAUUAAUUUUUAAUUUUUAAUAAAUGUGUUAACAACAAGAAUAGCAUGAUUAACAAAUUGGUCUUAUCCGUGUGUUUUGAUGUUUUGACAUGAUACAAAAGACAACACAAGAGUACAAAUUUCCACCCCUAGUUAAAAUACUAGUAUUUUGAUACAUUAUAUCAUAUUUUAUUAUAUCAAAUUAUAAUGCAAUAUUAUGAUUGGUAUAGUAUAUGCUGCAUUAUAUGAAAUAAUAUUUUUAUUUUAAUAGUUAUAUUAAAUUAAUAAUUUAAGAUUCAUUAAUAUCUUUUAUUAUUUUAUUCAAUUGACAAUUUAAAUUUUUAUAAGUAAAAUAAAUAAUCUUUACUGCUGACCAACACACCGCGCAAUGUUGUACUUUGAUGUCAUUUGAACUUUAUUUUGAUACCAUUUGAAUUAUAGAUUCUAGUCAUUGAAACUACAAAACAGUACUGUAAAUUUACAAUAAUUGAAAGCUGCUAGGUUAAUAAUAGUUACACCAUUUUAUAGUUCGGAGAAUAAGGAUUCUAAUAAUAGUAAUUUUAGUACAAAAUAUGAUGUAAUACGGAAGCCACUGGUGGCUAGCCGUUGUCAAAUUGUCGAAGGCAGUUCACCAUCUUCAUUUUUGGUUUUUAUUAUUUUAAUUAAAGAAAUUAAAAAAACUAAUGUGAAUAGCGCUGAUUUUAAAAAAAAAAAUUGGAGCUCACUCAAGACCACUUGUUCAGAAAAAAAAAAAAAAACCAAGCUCAUCCUCGAAGUUAGCGGAAUAACGCAACAACUGCAUUGCAACCUUAAAGUUUUACCAAAUAUAAGAUUGGUGGAUUUCAUUAAAGUCUGAUAAUACAAUAUAAUCCCGAGUAAUGCUACACAUCUUAAAUUUUUUAUCUUAAAAAAUUAUCUCAAAUAAUGUGUCAUUUAUUAAUUAAUUAGUGAGAUAAUACAAUUAAUUCACUUAAAUCUUAUAAAAAUUAUUAACUACUUAAUUAAUGACAUAAUAUUUAAAAUAAUUUUUUAAAAUAAAAAAUUUAAAAUGUGUCCACAUAAAGUAGGUGCCAGACACGCCCCUAUUAAAUAUAAGUGUGGGAAGUAAUUAGGGGUUCAAAUAAGGCCCCACGCUUUUGCUUUGUGUCUUUUCAAAUAAUAAUAGUCACAAGAAGCUCAAGCUCUGCGACGUCGUUUCUUAAAGUCAAUAUGAGACGAUGGCAUUAUACAGCUUGCUAACGACUCCUUCCAGCACUUUGCCCGGAAACUCGCACUGCAUACACACAAUUUCUUGUGCUUUACCUUUUUUCUUUUUCUUUUUUUUUUAAAUAUUUUUUUAAGUAAAAGAAUUCAAACGUUAUAGACCACAAGUAUUGACCAGAAUCAACGGUGCAGAUCCCUUCCCCACAGUAAGAAAAUUUGAUAAUAACGUACGAGCCCCACUUUUGCGUUUUCCCAUAUAAGGAUCUAGUUUGGGCAUUUAUAACCAAAAAGUCUGCAAUUGCUAUUGAAAUGAUCUAGCUAGUUAGUAAUCACCCUUGUAAUGUUACAGUAAACAUGAAAGCGUAUCGAAUCUUAGGACUUGAAUAGAUCUAAAUGUAACUCAAAUAUAAUACCUCUGAAUGUAUGUAUUAUUUCUUUUUUUAUGCUUUAACAAAAUAUCCUAAAAACAUUAUUUUUCCAUACUUAUAAUUUUAUUACUGAAAAUGGAUAUAGUUUUAGUGUGGUAAAAGAAAUAAUGGUUUGCCAUAAAAGUAACGCUUACAUAAUUUAUGCUAAUAGUUGUUUUGUGUUGUGCUCUAUAAUACUCAAGGAAUCUAUUCAUUGUAAGCAAUAAGUCAUUUGACAUGAAGCCCUCCACUUGAAGAAUGGUUUAAAGUUAAUUUAAAUGCAGCUAUUAAAGCAGAUCAGCAGCUUGUAGUUUUGGAGAUGGCCAUUAAAGAUUCAAAUGGGAAUUUUGUGGAAGGAGAAAACUAAAAGAUCAAGUUAAUAUGAUAAUGCUAUUAUGUAGAAGUCGAAGGAGCAGAGCUGAGAAUUCAAGUUAUUGAAAAUACAGUGUGCCUGUUAUUGAUUAUACAAUUAGAAAUGGUGGAUCUUUUCUUAAAUAAGGAGACUGCAAAAUUGAGAUUGUUAGGAAAAAUUAAAGUAUUUGAACAAUGCAAAAAUUUAGAACACUACGAGAGUUUAUAAUAUUAUUGUCCAUUAUUUAUCUAAAUUAACUUUAGAAAAUGAACAACUUAUUGUAUGGUUGGAUGUAAUGCUAGUACAGAUCAUGUCUCUUUUUGCAAUUGAAUUAAUAAAAAUUUUACUUUCCCUUUUUUUAAAAAAAAAAAUAAGAAAAGCUCUUCGUUUAGAUUAAAUGGUAAGUCAAAUUUUUUGUGUUAAGAUGUUGUGAGUGAUGAUGGACUUAUCCCCUAAAAAUAGAAAAUAUGUCAAUAUAUUAUAAAACCUAAACAGUUAGGGACUCAGACGUCAUUACACAUCACGAAAAUUCAUAGAGAGUUUCUAGAUCCUUCCAUCUCCUCAUUUUACUCGUCAAACACUCAACAUCAAAAACCAAACCAAACCACACACAGCUAACUCUCUCAUCAACAAAUCCUCACCGUCCAUUCUGUCUGUUAUAACUCGAGAUCCAACGUUUCUUCUUCCUCUCUCUUUCUGUUCGCUCGCUCGCCGUCUCGCGUCUACUCUGAAGAUCUGGUUGGCUCUCUGCCUCUCUCUCUCUUGUCUUCUCUUUGAUCGAUCUUAAAUUUAACAAUACGAUUAUAAUUAUAAUUAUAAUUAUAAUUUCUUGUUUUAAUUUAUGUUAUUAUUCAGAAAUUUUUUAGUACAAGAUGUUCGGAAGAGCGCCAAAGAAAAGCGAUAACACAAAGUACUAUGAGAUUCUCGGAGUCUCAAAAAACGCUUCGCAAGAUGAUCUGAAGAAGGCUUAUAGGAAAGCCGCCAUCAAAAACCAUCCUGACAAGGGCGGUGAUCCUGAGAAGGUUUAUUUUUAUUUUUUAAAAUUACGAUUUUGUGUUGUUAUUUGUUUUGGUUUUUAAUAACUCAGCAUGCUUGUUUCGAUUUACAGUUUAAAUUGUUUGCAUAUGUGGAUCAAAUUGUUUAGAUCUAUUUUUCUUUUAAAGUUUGGAUAUUUACUGGAUUGCCACUCGAGGAUUAAUUGAAACUGUGUUGUUAAGCUGAACUGCUGGAGCUGGGAACUUUGUUUUAUUGGUCAAAAUUGAAUUUUUGUUUUUUUGUGCCAUAUUUGGUAAUUUAAUUGAUAGGGUGAUUACUGAACAUCUGAAAUUUUACUUGUUAUUCAGUUUAAAGAGUUGGCACAAGCGUAUGAGGUUCUGAGUGACCCAGAGAAGCGUGAAAUAUAUGAUCAAUACGGCGAGGAUGCGCUUAAAGAGGGAAUGGGUGGUGGUGGUGGUGCCCAUGACCCAUUCGACAUAUUCCAAUCCUUCUUCGGUGGCAGCCCAUUUGGUGGUAAGCUUCCCCCCCCCCCAACCUCUUUCAGAUUCAUAGUCCUUUAAGAGUGAAAGUGAUGGUAGUUAUACUGAACUGAAAAUACUUGUGGGCGGUAGGUGGGAGCAGCAGAGGAAGAAGGCAAAGGAGGGGAGAGGAUGUAAUCCAUCCCCUCAAGGUUUCUUUGGAGGAUCUCUACAAUGGGACAUCUAAGAAGCUCUCGCUCUCCCGCAAUGUAAUCUGCACCAAGUGCAAAGGGUUAGUUUCAAAAUAUCUGCUUUGAUGAAUUAUUUAUGAUGCAACAAGUCUUUUGUUGGGUUUGCUUUUCUACUUUCCUGUACUUACGAACAGUAAUUUGGUGUGGUUAUUUGCAGGAAGGGGUCUAAGUCAGGUGCAUCAAUGAAAUGUUCUGGCUGCCAGGGAUCUGGAAUGAAAGUUUCAAUAAGACACCUUGGCCCCUCUAUGAUUCAACAAAUGCAGCAUCCUUGCAAUGAGUGCAAGGGUACUGGAGAAACAAUCAAUGACAAGGAUCGCUGCCCACAAUGUAAGGGUGAGAAGGUCAUUCAGGAGAAAAAAGUCUUGGAGGUUAUUGUUGAGAAGGGGAUGCAAAAUGGACAGAAGAUUACGUUCCCUGGAGAAGCUGAUGAAGCGGUAAGGCAACGGAUUUUGUUGUUAUUUUUUCUUUUUAAUGCUCUCUGAGUUAUAUUUUCGAGUACAUUGAGUACUGUUUCAAGGUGUAGUUGUCUUAGUUGCUGACUGUACAUUUUGUCAUUUUUUAAAUUUGUGCAGCCCGACACUGUCACAGGUGACAUUGUAUUUGUUCUACAACAGAAAGAGCACCCGAAAUUUAAGCGAAAGGGUGAUGACCUAUUUGUUGAGCACACCCUGUCACUGACAGAAGCUCUCUGUGGCUUUCAAUUUGUAAUAACUCAUUUGGAUGGCCGGCAACUCCUCAUCAAAUCCCAGCCUGGGGAAGUAGUCAAGCCGGGUAAGUACAACUGGAUGGAUGUUAGUCUGAAUUUGUCAGCCUUUGUUGUUCAAAACUGAGUUUGUUGAAUAAUUUCUAGUUUCUAUAAAUUGUUCAACUUCACCAUUGGCAAUAUUCUUUCAGAUUUGUGAGCUGAUAGGAUUUUCCAUUUUUCUUGAGUCUUGACAGUGAUGCCUUGGUAGUGAUGCCUUGUGCAUGAACUUUUAUUCCUAGUACCAGUGUGACUGUCUAAUUUUUGGGCAUCUUGUUGUUUUCUGUUCAAAGUUCAGUUAUUUUUUGCUAUUUGAGUAGUGAUAUCUUGUUUUUGUACAGUGUUCUUUAACAUAUUGUUGUUUCUUUUCACCCCAGGAAACACUUUUAAGCAAUAUGUGCAAGUGAUCGUGGAAAUAAUAUCUGUGAACAGGCCUUUAAUAGCCUUGUUAAUGCAACUAGCUAGUUUCUUUAGACAUGUUUUUGGAGGCUUCCUUAGAUAGCUUUAUUGAUGCAAUUUAGCUAGUUUCUUAAGACUCUUGUCGAAGGCAUCAUACAUGUUGAAUUAUGUGAUGAUAUGAUCUAUUCUAGAUUCAGAUGGAACUACUAUUAGAGAUUUAUUGGAUGUGAUGCAUUGCCCUUGGUUCCUUUAUGCUGAAUAAUUUCUUGUGUUUGUUUCAUGUUAUCAUCUUAUUCAUACAUGCUACUUGUUUCUCUGCAAACAGACCAAUUCAAGGCCAUAAAUGAUGAAGGAAUGCCUAUGUAUCAGAGGCCAUUUAUGAGGGGCAAACUGUACAUUCAUUUCACUGUUGACUUCCCUGAGUCACUGAGCCCAGACCAGUGCAAGAUGCUGGAGACCGUACUACCUCCAAGGACCUCAGUCCAGCUCACCGAUAUGGAACUGGAUGAGUGUGAAGAAACAACCCUGCAUGAUGUGAACAUUGAGGAGGAAAUGCGAAGGAAGCAACAAGCAGCUCAGGAGGCAUACGAUGAAGAUGACGAUAUGCAAGGUGGUGCCCAGAGAGUGCAGUGUGCUCAGCAGUGAUGAUGUAGAAGAAAAGGGGUGGCCUGAUUUAGUAUUUUCAUUGUUUGGGAGAAAAAGAUUCUCAACAUAUUUAUUUUCUGUUAUAGGCUUUAGAGGUUCUAGUUUUGGUUUGUCUGUCUUUAUUCUUAUGUUUUUCUGAUAACUGACUAUGUAAUGGAAUUCUAGCGUUGCACCUUCAGACUCAAUGCUCAUAAUUAAUAUUUUUAGUGUUUACAAUAUUUCAGGGUGGUGUUAAUCAGAAGUCCAUAUGCGAAUGCUAAAAUUAUUUUUUAUUUCUAAAUUACACUUCUAUGUGCAGUGAAAACCAAUUUCUAAUUCACCCAGAAAAAAAAAUGAAGAAAAAAGAGCAGCAGGUGAUAACACAGAAAGGCCGAACUCCUAAGCUUUGGAGUCUAUAAGACGAGCUCUUUGUAUGCUCCAAGUAUGCAGGUGCUUGGCUACUAACAGGAGCGGGCAGGGGCGAGUCGGGCACAUUCCAGCCAUCGGUUGAGGGUUCUGGCGACGAAGAUGGUGCGAACAACGGAGUCAACAGUGGCUCCACGGGAGCUGCAGCAGGGGAAGGAGCUGGUGGGAAACUGUUCUUACCAUGAACAAUAAUGGAAAUCUUUUGGCCUAAAUCACAGUAAUUUGAGAGGUUGCAGAGAUAAUAGAAAACACCUUGCUCAUUCAAUGCAAUUGUUGCAGGACCAGAAUUCAGAACUUUGAUGGGAUUGUUGGCUUUGCAAGUUUGGUAGUCUAGUGCUGUAACUUGCAUCAAGUUGUACAAUUCUGUCUCAAAAUCAAAAACUGCAAAGAGAGAAAAUAUCAAAUCAAUAAACAAAAAAAGAGAAUUUGAAUUGCGUGUGAGACACAAGACAUCAAGUUAAUUACCAAUAGAGUCGCCAAUGCGGAAGAGAUGAGAUGAGGACCAGUCAUUGUAGAAAUUUGGGGUCGGUGGAAUGGACCACACUGAAUCCCCCACCCAAUACCUUAAGCCAUAUGAGCUACCAAAGCAUAUUACUGCAGCCACCACAACAAUUGAGAUUGCAAGUGAGUAGUGUGAGUUUAUCAUUAUUGUUUGUUUAGCCAGCCUCAGGACACAGCAGAGUUUUCAUCUCGGUUAAUGGAGUUUCAGAGGAAAGAAAAUGAAGAGUCUUCUAUCCGUAAAAUAAAAAUAAACUCCAUGCAUGGAAAUGUAACUGUUCGUGUACAAGUGGAAAGACCGCACGGUUCACACUUUUCACAAAUCAAUCAAGAUUUAAGUACCAUUAUUUACGCGCAUGCUUGAGUGAAUAGACAUAUCAUGGGGCCGGCCCUCAAAGAAAAGAAAUUAUGACCGUUGCCUGCUUUUAGUAAAGACAGUCUCUCAGUCGUACACGUGUCCUUUCAUGGCUAGGAUUGACUAGAUGUUAUCAUACUUGAUUAUAUCGUAGGAUUCCUCCCGAUUCCCCACCCUACCAUUUUCGAAAUUUAAAAUUGUGAGGAAAAAUAAUAAUAAUAAUAAUAACUUUUCUAGCCGUUGAACUUGAAAAAUCCGUCUUUCUCAAACCGAAAAGAAGAAACUCGUCUCAGCCAAAGCCUCAGCCUCGGCCUCCCUCGGCUUCACUUUAGCUUAAAGAUUCUGUUGCCGUCUUUGAAUCUUCGUGAAAAAUCUCUUGCUACCACAUCAGAUUUUUUCCUUUCAACACCCCAAUCAGAAGAAAAAGGAAAAAAAAUAUGAAGGGAAUGAAAGGAAAGUUGCUAAAGAAACUCAAGACCAUUAAACCAAUUGGGUAUCUAAAGCCUGAUAGAAUUCUUCAGGUCAAUGCGGCAGAUGGAUUUUUCGAAACGUUUUCAAAGAUUUCAAAUGGGAAGUUUCAACAAACCCAGAUGGAAAGCAAACGAUCUGAGCAAGAGAAGAAGAUCAGUGAAAGGAUUGAAGAAAUUGAAGAGCCUGAUAUCAUUGAUGUUGAGGAGCUUAUGAAAGACCUUGAAGAUGAAGAAGAAGAAGAAGAAGAAGAAGAAGCAGAAGAAAUGGAGCUUGAUGAUGGAAUAAAUGACAAAGAGAAUAUUGGGCCACCUACGAAGCCUAAAGAUUCAGUUUCUUGCAAUUCCAAGGAAAAUGUAGAAUUAUCCAAGAAAGUAGAGCCUUUAGCUGAGAUUGAUGUAUCUUCUUUUAGGCGGCCGGACAUGAAUUCCGGCACCCUCUUUGAUCCAAAUUUACUCGCCGCCUUCGAGGAAGCAGUGAACCAGCAUAUUAGAUUGAGUCAAGAAGAGAGAAAAGCAAGAAUUGAUCAAGAAAAGAACACAGAAGAAACAGAGAGAGAUGCAACAAUUGAGCAAGUUGAUGUUGAAAAGCUUGAAGAAGAAGAAGAGCCUGAGCCACCAUACAAAUCUCGCCGCAUCCAAAAGGAAGAAGAAGAAGAAGGAGAAGAAAGCAACCCUUUAUUGAAUUUUGAACUCAAGUGUCCACCAGGAGGAGAUGAAUCAGUGAUUUUUUACACAACAACUCUUAGAGGAAUAAGAAAAACAUUUGAGGAUUGUAGCAGUGUUCGGUUUCUGUUAGAGAGUUUUAAGGUGAUAUUUUUCGAGAGAGAUGUGUCAAUGCACAUUGAGUUCAGGGAAGAAUUGUGGAAAGUUUUGGAUUGUAAAGCAGUUCCUCCAAGGCUUUUCAUUAAAGGAAGAUACAUUGGUGGAGCUGCUGAGGUUUUAACUUUGCAUGAGCAAGGAAAGCUUAGGCCACUCUUCGAUGGGAUGCCGAUUGACCGAUCUGACGGGCCGUGCGAUGGCUGUGCCGGAGUCCGGUUUGUGCUUUGUUUCCGGUGCUGCGGCAGCCAUAAGGUGGUUGCCGGUGAUGGGUUGGCCAGUCAAUGCCAAGAGUGCAAUGAAAAUGGCUUGAUUAUAUGCCCCUAUUGCUGUUGAAAGUUAUUGGUGUAAUUGUUCAGUUGUAUCACUUGAUAGCGGAUUCUUAUUUGUAUCUUGAUUUGGGAUGCUGGUGUUGUACUCUGCCAAUUCUUCUGUAUGUAGAGCAUAUUGGGAUAAUUGAUUGUCAUGGUUUCUGGAAUAAUGGAAAUAGAGCUUUCCAUUUUCACCAUCUGAUUUUACAUAUAUCUAUAAUAGAGCCUGCCCUCGACAUUGAAAAAGAUGUGACCAACAAUGAACUUGUUUCAAACAAGUAUUCCAAUAUCAAAUUUUAAUUCAUGGAAAUCAGUCUGCACAUUACUUUACAUUGACAAUAGUACGCACGGUGAACUAGAUAUACAUGUAUUUCACUAAUCCGUGGGGCUGAUCAAGUCAGCAAUUGGAAUAGCGUGGAGGGGCAGAAUCCACAAGGCAACUCCCGAAUUGUCUUCAUUAUUCAUGCUCCUAGAUUAAGAAAGGGAUGAACCAAGAGAACAUUUAUCAACUUGGCAGAAAGAAACCAGAAUUCACCCAGAUGCUAUAUCUUUCCAGCAUUAAAUGCACUCCAAAGAAAUAGUGUAUCCUCCUCUAUAUGAGGAGUCCAGGAUUAGCAUCGGUUACUUCAACUUUUCUGGAUUACCACAGACGGCUUCAACUUUUCUCGAUUAAGUCAUGAUACAAAGCUGCAAGAGACAUGAAAUGUGCUGAGCUUGGUUACCUUCUCUGAUGUCUUGAUCACUUUCUCGAGCUUUUGAUAGAAUUGGUAGGUUGGGGUACCAAUGCCUUCAACCAUUCUGAGGUGUUGGAAAACAUAUAAAUUUCCACCGCAGAUAAGUCGUGUAGAUGAGCUCGUUGACGAAAAUCCUGAGCAAUUACAACAUAGUGAGAAAAUGAAAGAAUUGCACAAUGAAUGUGUUGUUACUGCUUUUAGCGUAAAAAAAUUGCAGUUUGUAAAGUCCGCGUCCCACGCACGCUAUUAGAGUCCAUAGUUCUUAACCAUGGUGAAAUACAGGUUGGAGAAUGCUGUAUCUCUAUGCAAAUUUCGGAUUGAGAUAUGUGAGCUAGCGGAAAUAAAAACAGAAGUCUUGGUUACUGGAAUUUGACCUACUUUCAGUUCAAUCGUAACAGAGGAGUGAUACUCAUGACGAUAUUGGUUAAGAAAAAAAUGUGAGAGAUCAAAUCAGUGGGUAAGUGUUGUUUACUUUAGGCAAUUGUUAUCUUUGCUGGUGUUAAUAAGUCCGUCAACAAACUGCUUACUUAAUAUGUGAUUUACGCUUGCCUCAAGUCUAUGUAGUAUGUUGUGAUCAUACAAUCAAACGGCCUAAAAAUCAUUUCAAAAGGAUUACACCAGGCAUUUAAAUCCUGUUAUCCAUCCUCCUAAGCAUAGAAAUCCAAAAGUUCACCUUCAUACUCCUUCAAGGAGAACCAAGCACCGAAAUCAAUGAGGAAUAUCAGAAAUAAGAUUAUAAAGUUGAGGCUUGAUACAAAUGGGAAGACUCUUCAAUUACUGCUGUAUCGGAGUCAUCCUAAAAACUGUCCGUGGGCAUGAUAUUGAGAAGCCUCCGAAACAUCAUUUCUGAACCAAGGAUCUGUAACUAUUUCUGAAUGCAAUGGCUAGUGCUAGCUUAUGUACUCAUCUGUUGUUAGCAAAGAGCAAGUCAGCGUGAUGAAGGUUGAAAGGACCUCCCAUGAAGUCCCAUCCUAAUUCAAACUAUUAAUUAAGAAAUUCAGAUACAGAAUGUUGACCUCCACUACUUCAGAGAUGUAGUGGACAAUGAACCUAAGUUUCUGGUUCUGAAUUAUGUGAUCACACAGCUAGCAAUACAUUUUAUAAUGUAGUAGGAAACAAGAUGCUCAAAAUAGCUGCCCAGCCAAAUUUUGAAAUAGCACACCAGCACAAGCAGAAGUUCAAAGACAUGUUGAAACAACUAUCAAUGAAGAUGAUGCACAUUUGCUUUGAUCUUCACUCUAAAAUUAUUAAAAACCAGCAUGCUAACCUUCUUCUAUUAUAGGAGACAAAACAUAAUUGAAUAAUCUUAACUACUAUUAUCCAAUCAAAUUCCUUAUACAAUCCAAAUCAAUUUAUAUAUCAAUUCCUUCUACCCAGUAAAAACUUAACUCCAAG
rnacentral:lncRNA from 1 species